rnacentral:tRNA from 1 species
GCCUGGGUGGUGGAAUUGGGAUACACGAUAGACUCAAAAUCUAUUGCUCGUAAGGGCUUGAGGGUUCGAGUCCCUCCCCAGGCA